rnacentral:rRNA from 1 species
CUACGGGAGGCAGCAGUGGGGAAUCUUGCACAAUGGGGGAAACCCUGAUGCAGCGACGCCGCGUGAGCGAUGAAGUCCUUCGGGGCGUAAAGCUCUUUCGGCAGGGAAGAUGAUGACGGUACCUGCAGAAGCAGCUGCGGCUAACUACGUGCCAGCAGCCGCGGUAAUACGUAGGCAGCAAGCGUUGUUCGGAGUUACUGGGCGUAAAGGGUGUGUAGGCGGUUGCUUAAGUUUGGUGUGAAAUCUCCCGGCUCAACUGGGAGGGUGCGCCGAAUACUGAGCGGCUCGAGUGCGGGAGAGGAGAGUGGAAUUCCUGGUGUAGCGGUGAAAUGCGUAGAUAUCAGGAGGAACACCGGCGGUGUAGACGGCUCUCUGGACCGCGACUGACGCUGAGACACGAAAGCGUGGGUAGCAAACAGGAUUAGAUACCCCGGUAGU